CCUACGGGAGGCAGCAGUGAGGAAUAUUGGUCAAUGGACGAGAGUCUGAACCAGCCCAGUAGCGUGAAGGAUGACUGCCCUAUGGGUUGUAAACUUCUUUUAUAUGGGAAUAAAAUGUUCCACGUGUGGGAUUUUGUAUGUACCAUAUGAAUAAGGAUCGGUUAACUCCGUGCCAGCAGCCGCGGUAAUACGGAGGAUCCGAGCGUUAUCCGGAUUUAUUGGGUUUAAAGGGAGCGUAGGUGGAUUGUUAAGUCAGUUGUGAAAGUUUGCGGCUCAACCGUAAAAUUGCAGUUGAAACUGGCAGUCUUGAGUAAAGUAGAGGUGGGCGGAAUUCGUGGUGUAGCGGUGAAAUGCUGAGAUAUCACGAAGAACUCCGAUUGCGAAGGCAGUUCACUGGACUGCAACUGACACUGAGGCUCGAAAGUGUGGGUAUCAAACAGGAUUAGAUACCCUGGUAGUC
rnacentral:rRNA from 1 species